AGUGAACGCUGGCGGUAGGCCUAACACAUGCAAGUCGAACGGCAGCACAGUAAGAGCUUGCUCUUACGGGUGGAGAGUGGCGGACGGGUGAGGAAUACAUCGGAAUCUACUUUUUCGUGGGGGAUAACGUAGGGAAACUUACGCUAAUACCGCAUUCGACCUACGGGUGAAAGCAGGGGAUCUUCGGACCUUGCGCGAUUGACUGAGCCGAUGUCGGAUUAGCUAGUUGGCGGGGUAAAGGCCCACCAAGGCGACGAUCCGUAGCUGGUCUGAGAGGAUGAUCAGCCACACUGGAACGGAGACACGGUCCAGACGCCUACGGGAGGCAGCAGUGGGGAAUAUUGGACAAUGGGCGCAAGCCUGAUCCAGCCAUACCGCGUGGGUGAAGAAGGCCUUCGGGUUGUAAAGCCCUUUUGUUGGGAAAGAAAAGCAGCAGGUUAAUACCCCGCUGUUCUGACGGUACCCAAAGAAUAAGCACCGGCUAACUUCGUG
rnacentral:rRNA from 1 species